UCUCUGGUAGUAUAUCGGUUAGUACACGCGCCUGUCAUGAGGAAAUGGUCGCUCUGAACGCGCGCAAGCUGGGUUCGACUCCCAGCCAGAGAG